UUCCGGUUGAUCCUGCCGGAGGCCAUUGCUAUCGGAGUCCGAUUUAGCCAUGCUAGUUGUGCGGGUUUAGACCCGCAGCGGAAAGCUCAGUAACACGUGGCCAAACUACCCUGUGGAUGGGAACAAUCUCGGGAAACUGAGGCUAAUUCCCAAUAAUGCUCGACCCCUGGAAUGGGUCGAGCUGGAAACGCUACGGCGCCACAGGAUGUGGCUGCGGCCGAUUAGGUAGACGGUGGGGUAACGGCCCACCGUGCCCGUAAUCGGUACGGGUUGUGAGAGCAAGAGCCCGGAGACGGUAUCUGAGACAAGAUACCGGGCCCUACGGGGCGCAGCAGGCGCGAAACCUUUACACUGUACGCAAGUGCGAUAAGGGGACUCCGAGUGUGAAGGCAUAGAGCCUUCACUUUUGUACACCGUAAGGUGGUGUACGAAUAAGGGCUGGGCAAGACCGGUGCCAGCCGCCGCGGUAAUACCGGCAGCCCGAGUGAUGGCCGAAAUUAUUGGGCCUAAAGCGUUCGUAGCUGGCCGGACAAGUCCGUUGGGAAAUCCGCGCGCUUAACGCGCGGGCGUCCAGCGGAAACUGUUCGGCUUGGGACCGGAAGACCUGAGGGGUACGUCCGGGGUAGGAGUGAAAUCCUGUAAUCCUGGACGGACCACCGGUGGCGAAAGCGCCUCAGGAGGACGGAUCCGACAGUGAGGAACGAAAGCUAGGGUCUCGAACCGGAUUAGAUACCCGGGUAGUCCUAGCUGUAAACGAUGCCCGCUAGGUGUGGCGCAGGCUACGAGCCCUGCGCUGUGCCGUAGGGAAGCCGAGAAGCGGGCCGCCUGGGAAGUACGUCUGCAAGGAUGAAACUUAAAGGAAUUGGCGGGGGAGCACUACAACCGGAGGAGCCUGCGGUUUAAUUGGACUCAACGCCGGG
rnacentral:rRNA from 1 species